rnacentral:rRNA from 1 species
CGAAUCCGCUAAGGAGUGUGUAACAACUCACCUGCCGAAUGAAUUAGCCCUGAAAAUGGAUGGCGCUGAAGCGGGUGGCCGACACCACGCCGUGUGACCGAGUUUUUGAUGUCACAUGAGUAGGAGGGCGUGGCGGGCGUGGAGAAGCAUGGGCGCGAGCCUGUGUGAAACGGUCCGCUAGUGCAGAUCUUGGUGGUAGUAGCAAGUAUUCAAGCGAGAACCUUGAAGGGCGAAGCGGGGAAGGGUUCCACGCGAACAUUGAUUGGGCGUGGGUGAGUCGUUCCUAAGUCGAGUGGCAAUUGCUAAGUAGCGGCGAAAGGGAAGCGGGUUGAAAUUCCCGCACACGGGUGUGGAGUGCGGUGACGCAAAAUGGGGCGAACACGCUGGCGACGGCGCUGGGCAGAGUUGUCUUUUCUGUUUGACCGAGUGUGCGGGCUGUGUGGAAUCCGCUUGUCGGGAGAAACACGCUCGCACGGGCAGAGCGCCGGGGCUUUUCCGGCGUCCAGCUCGCCGUCGACGGCCCUUGAAACUUUGCCUGCUGAUUUAAGAUCCACGCCGUGGCGUACCGAUCACCGCAUCAGGUCCCCGAGGUGAACAGCCUCUGCUCGAUAUGAACAAUGCAGGUAAGGGAAGUCGGCAAAUUGGACCCGUAACUUUGGGAAAAGGGUUGGCUCUAGUGCUGCGUGGGAGAGGUUGUCUGUGUGUGGGGGCGGAGUGAGGGCCGGCUCGGCGCGGUUUAGCCUCGCAAGGGGAUUUACUGUUCUGCGCUGCUCACGCUCUGUUUCCGCCGCGGACGACGCCCACGGCAUGCAGCAGACUAGAACUGCAACGGGCAAAGGGAAUCCGACUGUUUAAUUAAAACAAAGCAUUGAGAAGGCCGUGGGCGGUGAUGACUCAAUG